AUACUUGUCUGGUGCCGGGGCCUCGUUGGUCACUGCGGACGAGCCCCCAGGGUGACGUGCGGGCAUCGCACUGCGCUCGUGUUGACCCCUGCCACCACCCCAAACUGGGGUUGAUAGGUCAUGUAAAGUGCGUUAAAAGCUCAUUUAUGCGAAUC
rnacentral:snRNA from 1 species